rnacentral:pre_miRNA from 1 species
CUCGGGGUGGGGGGGUUCCUCAGCCCAGAUUGCGAGAGGGCUCAGGCCAGGCCGAGGGAUCCCACCGGUGCACG